GACGAACGCUGGCGGCAUGCUUAACACAUGCAAGUGGAGCGACGAACCUUUUUGGGGCAAAGCCGCGAACGGGUGAGUAACACGUGGGCAAUCUGCCCAGUUGACUGGAAUAACUCGAGGAAACUCGAGCUAAUACCGGAUGUGCCGUACCUGCACAAGCAGGUCCGGUAAAGGGAGCUUCGGCUAUCCGCAAUUGGAGGAGCCUGCGGCGCAUUAGCUAGUUGGUGGGGUAAAGGCCUACCAAGGCGACGAUGCGUAGCUGGUCUGAGAGGACGAUCAGCCACACCGGAACUGAGACACGGUCCAGAAUCCUACGGGAGGCAGCAGUGGGGAAUCUUGCACAAUGGCGACAGCCUGAUGCAGCAAUGCCGCGUGAGGGAAGACGGCCUUCGGGUUGUAAACCUCCUUCAGUUGGGAUGAAGGUUGUGCAGUGAAUAGCUGCAGAACUGACCGUACCUUCAGAAGAAGCUCCGGCUAACUACGUGCCAGCCGCCGCGGUAA
rnacentral:rRNA from 1 species